UACAGAGGGUGCGAGCGUUGUCCGGAAUCACUGGGCGUAAAGGGCGCGUAGGUGGCGCGACAAGUCAGUGGUGAAAGUUCGACGCUCAACGUCGAAUCGGCCACUGAUACUGUUGGGCUUGAGCACUGUAGAGGCUAAUGGAAUUCCGGGUGUAGCGGUGGAAUGCGUAGAGAUCGGGAGGAGCACCUGUGGCGAAGGCGGCCCCCUGGGCCGGCCCUGACACUGAGACGCGAAGGCGUGGGGGAGCGAACGGG
rnacentral:rRNA from 1 species